UACGGGGGGGGCAAGCGUUGUUCGGAAUUACUGGGCGUAAAGGGCUCGUAGGUGGCCAACUAAGUCAGACGUGAAAUCCCCAGGCUUAACCUGGGAACUGCGUCUGAUACUGGAUGGCUUGAAUUCGGGAGAGGGAUGCAGAAUUCCAGGUGUAGCGGUGAAAUGCGUAAAUAUCUGGAGGAAUACCGGUGGCGAAGGCGGCAUCCUGGACCGAGAUUGACACUGAUGAGCGAAAGCCAGGGGAGCAAACGGG
rnacentral:rRNA from 1 species